rnacentral:rRNA from 1 species
GGAGUCUGGACCGUGUCUCAGUUCCAGUGUGGCUGGUCAUCCUCUCAGACCAGCUAGGGAUCGUCGCCUAGGUGAGCCGUUACCCCACCUACUAGCUAAUCCCAUCUGGGCACAUCCGAUGGUGUGAGGCCCGAAGGUCCCCCACUUUGGUCCGAAGACGUUAUGCGGUAUUAGCUACCGUUUCCAGUAGUUAUCCCCCUCCAUCGGGCAGUUUCCCAGACAUUACUCACCCGUCCGCCACUCGUCACCCGAGAGCAAGCUCUCUGUGCUACCGUUCGACUUGCAUGUGUUAGGCCUGCCGCCAGCGUUCAAU